AGAGUGAACGCUGGCGGCAGGCCUAACACAUGCAAGUCGAACGGCAGCACAGAGGAGCUUGCUCCUUGGGUGGCGAGUGGCGGACGGGUGAGGAAUACGUCGGAAUCUGCCUAUUUGUGGGGGAUAACGUAGGGAAACUUACGCUAAUACCGCAUACGACCUACGGGUGAAAGCGGAGGACCUUCGGGCUUCGCGCAGAUAGAUGAGCCGAGUCGGAUUAGCUAGUUGGCGGGUAAAGGCCCACCAAGGCGACGAUCCGUAGCUGGUCUGAGAGGAUGAUCAGCCACACUGGAACUGAGACACGGUCCAGACUCCUACGGGAGCAGCAGUGGGGAAUAUUGGACAAUGGGCGCAAGCCUGAUCCAGCCAUGCCGCGUGU
rnacentral:rRNA from 1 species